AUCAGUAACUCAGGCUGUUUCCCACACUACAGGCCAGCACUGUGGGCUCUCAGUUUAUUGGGAAAUGGAAAUAAGAGGGAAGGACAAAAGUCCACUGGGAAGCAGACUGGACAGAAAGGAACUCUGAGCAGCUAAACUCUGACUAAUCCCAGGGUAUACCUGCGUUUUCUCUUCACCAGACAAACUGCGGCCUGGACCAGCUGGUGAAACAUAAUUCUGAAUCCUGCCCACAGCCUUCGGUGGUUUUGGAUGAAAGGCCAGCGCCUUGGGAGCCCUGCGUUUGAUUUCAAGUUUUAAGGCCGGCACUGGUGGAGCAAUGAAUGGUGAAAGCUCUCCCCUUAAAGGAGCACAGUUGCCUUUAGGUGACUGCUAACUCAGGCUUUUGCUGAGGACAGUGUUUACUUUGUGAGCUUAAUGACAGGGCUGGCUUUCUGGGAGUGUUGCAAUGAAACAGACUCAGACACAGGCCAUCAUGGGCCUCCUCCCUAGCAAGGCCGCCACGGCUGGCAUCUCAAGAGCAGUCCGUUGAACUUGGGAUUUGGGUGUGAGACACAGUUUCAUCAGAAGAAUUUAAACCAAAGUCUACAUUUGCCCUCUAGAUAAAUGUGUGUGUUCAGCAGCAACCACAAAAAAAAAAAAAAAAA
rnacentral:lncRNA from 1 species